ensembl:vault_RNA Vault Vault RNA
GCACUGGUGUAGCUCAGUGGUUACUUCGACCAUCAAUUCUCACUCGCAGAAUUCGAAUCGUCUCUAUCCCUCUGUGGGAUCGAACCACGGGUGCUGUCCAGUGCUUUU